CCUACGGGAGGCAGCAGUGAGGAAUAUUGGUCAAUGGACGAGAGUCUGAACCAGCCACGCAGCGUGAAGGAAGACUGCUCUAUGGGUUGUAAACUUCUUUUAUAUGGGAAUAAAAUGUUCCACGUGUGGGAUUCUGUAUGUACCAUACGAAUAAGGAUCGGCUAACUCCGUGCCAGCAGCCGCGGUAAUACGGAGGAUUCGAGCGUUAUCCGGAUUUAUUGGGUUUAAAGGGUGCGUAGGUGGAUUGUUAAGUCAGUUGUGAAAGUUCGCGGCUCAACCGUUGAAUUGCAGUUGAAACUGGCAGUCUAGAGUACAGUAGAGGUAGGCGGAAUUCGUGGUGUAGCGGUGAAAUGCUUAGAUAUCACGAAGAACUCCGAUUGCGAAGGCAGCUUACUGGACUGCAACUGACGCUGAGGCUCGAAAGUGUGGGUAGCAAACAGGAUUAGAUACCCGGGUAGUC
rnacentral:rRNA from 1 species